UGGUUUAGAUGGUAAAGAACCUGCCUGCAAUGCAGGAGACCCAGGUUCAAACCCUGG
rnacentral:tRNA from 1 species